UGGGGAAUUUUGGACAAUGGACGCAAGUCUGAUCCAGCCAUGCCGCGUGCGGGAAGAAGGCCUUCGGGUUGUAAACCGCUUUUGUCAGGGAAGAAACGAGUUUCUCUAAUACAGAGACUUAAUGACGGUACCUGAAGAAUAAGCACCGGCUAACUCUGUGCCAGCAGCCGCGGUAAUACAGAGGGUGCAAGCGUUAAUCAGAAUUACUGGGCGUAAAGCGCGCGUAGGUGGUUAGUUAAGUUGGAUGUGAAAUCCCCGGGCUCAACCUGGGAAUUGCCUUUGUGACUGCAAGGCUUGAGUGCGGGAGAGGGGGAUGGAAUUCCGCGUGUAGCAGAGAAAUGCGUAGAUAUGCGGAGGAACACCGAUGGCGAGGGCAAUCCCCUGGGCCUGCACUGACGCUCAUGCACGAGAGCGUGGGGAGCAAA
rnacentral:rRNA from 1 species